UGAGUACGAGAUGCUACGGCGUCGAAGCAGUCUAGGUCAUACUUCCAAGAAAAGCUUGCACUGUCAUAAACAAAGAAUGCCUGUACCAUAACCGACACAGGUGGGUAGGUAGAGUAUACUAAGGGGCGCGAGAUAACUCUCUCUAAGGAACUCGGCAAAAUGACUCCGUAACUUCGGGAGAAGGAGUGCCUUAUUUUUAAGGUUGCAAUAACAAGAUCCAAGCAACUGUUUACCAAAAACACAGGUCUCCGCUAAGUCGUAAGACGAUGUAUGGGGGCUGACGCCUGCCCAGUGCCAGAAGGUUAAAGAAGUUGGUUAGCAUUUGCGAAGCUGAUAACUGAAGCCCUGGUGAACGGCGGCCGUAACCAUAACGGUCCUAAGGUAGCGAAAUUCCUUGUCGGGUAAGUUCCGACCCGCACGAAAGGCGUAAUGAUUUGGAUACUGUCUCGGAGAGGGGCUCGGUGAAAUAGACUUGUCUGUGAAGAUGCGGACUACCUGCACCUGGACAGAAAGACCCUAUGAAGCUUUACUGUAACUUGAGAUUGAAAUUGGACUUUAUUUGCGCAGUAUAGGUGGGAGGCGUUGAGAAUAAUCUUGCGGGAUUAUCGGAGCCAUCAGUGAGAUACCACUCUUGUAAUGUUAGAUUUCUAACUUUGUAUCAUUAUCUGGUCAAAGAACAGUUUCAGGCGGGCAGUUUGACUGGGGCGGUCGCCUCCCAAAGGGUAACGGAGGCGCACAAAGGUUUCCUCUGAACGGGUAGAAAUCGUAUCUAGAGUGUAAAGGCAUAAGGAAGCUUGACUGUGAGACCUACAAGUCGAGCAGGGACGAAAGUCGGUCUUAGUGAUCUGACGGUGCUGAGUGGAAAGGCCGUCACUCAACGGAUAAAAGUUACUCUAGGAUAACAGGCUGAUCUCCCCCAAGAGUUCACAUCGACGGGGAGGUUUGGCACCUCGAUGUCGGCUCAUCGCAUCCUGGGGCGGUAGUACGUCCCAAGGGUUGGGCUGUUCGCCCAUGAAAGCGGUACGCGAGCUGGGUUCAGAACGUCGUGAGACAGUUCGGUCCAUAUCCGGUGUAGGCGUUAGAAUAUUGAAAGGAGCCUUCUCUAGUACGAGAGGACCGAGAAGGACAUACCUCUGGUGUGCCAGUUAUCGUGCCAACGGUAAACGCUGGGUAGCUAUGUAUGGAGUGGAUAACCGCUGAAAGCAUCUAAGUGGGAAGCCCACCUUAAGAUAAGUAUUCUC
rnacentral:rRNA from 1 species